rnacentral:rRNA from 1 species
AUUGAACGCUGGCGGCAUGCCUUACACAUGCAAGUCGAACGGCAGCGGACCUUCGGGUGCCGGCGAGUGGCGAACGGGUGAGUAAUAUAUCGGAACGUACCUUUCAGUGGGGGAUAACGUAGCGAAAGUUACGCUAAUACUGCAUAUUCUGUGAGCAGGAAAGCAGGGGAUCGCAAGACCUUGCGCUGAUUGAGCGGCCGAUAUCAGAUUAGCUAGUUGGUGAGGUAAAGGCUCACCAAGGCGACGAUCUGUAGCGGGUCUGAGAGGAUGAUCCGCCACACUGGAACUGAGACACGGUCCAGACUCCUACGGGAGGCAGCAGUGGGGAAUUUUGGACAAUGGGCGCAAGCCUGAUCCAGCCAUGCCGCGUGAGUGAAGAAGGGCC